AUUCUGAGACUUUACAACCCUCAGCUAAGGCUUUGAUGAUGCUGGAUAUUUCAGGAUCUUUCUGUUGUUCCUCCCACAGUGUGGUCAUGGAAAAGGGAAAGUCUUCUGUAUCCUUCUGACUGGAAGUCAUCAUACAGGCAGGGCCGAGUGGAAUCCUAGACAGAGCAUCCGGUGCCACAUUGAGUUUGCCUUUCCGGUAUUCAAUUACAAAAUUGAAUUUUUGGAGUCGAAGUGCCCAUCUUAUAAGACGACUAGAUGUUUUAGUGCUGUUCAUUACCCACUGUAAGGAGGCAUGGGUACGGCUUGCAUAAGCGAUCACCUCCUCGUGACCGACUCCCUUCUUUUGGGCCAGGAUUGCACCCAAUCCAACGUCACUGGCGUCUGUAUAUACAAGGAAAGGAAAAUCCAGGUCAGGAUGUCCCAGAAUGGGAGGAGAGAACCUUUGGAGGCAGAAGUCACAGACAUUUUUCCACCAUGCGGUUCCGGCUUUGGAGAUCUUUGCAUGUUUUUGGAAGAUGGGCCCGAUGACUGAUGAUCUCCAGCAGGGGAAUGGUACUGGGGACAUGAACCAGGUCUUUCUCUAGCUGGUGACCAAGCCUCACAAGCUCGUCCACGGAAUUGACUCGUCCACGGAGAUGACUUGCAAGCUGCGGCCUAACAUUCUUCAGGAUCAUUUUCACUAUCUCCAAAUCAGCAAUGUCAGGAUUCCAAUGCUUACAAAGAGCUCGAUAUGAAAAUGCAAAGUCUCGAAUAGACUCUUGUUCUCCUUGCCUCCGUUUCCUCACCCGGUCUGCUAACUCGUCUUCAUAGUCUUCGGACAAGAAAGCGGAAAGAAAGUCCUUCUGAAACUCAGCCCAAGACACAACCUGAGUUCUGGCAAUCUCCCACCAAUCGCGAGCGGUGCCAUGCAGAACAGUCCUAAAGGUGGCAAGGAUCUCUGCAUCAGACAGAGGAUGAACAGCCAGAAAGUCUUGACACUUGGACAAAUACAGAAGAGGAUCCGGAUCAUCAUGUGAUCUGCCAUAGGUAGGAAAAGACAGUUUUAGAUGGUCUGUUUUGAUG